UUCCGGUUGAUCCCGCCGGACCUGACUGCUAUCGGAUUGAUACUAAGCCAUGUGAGUCUUUGUAGUAAUACAAGGCAGACGGCUCAGUAACACGUAGUCAACCUACCCUAUGGACGAGAAUAAUCUCGGGAAACUGAGCAUAAUUCUCGAUAGAUCAUAAUGCCUGGAAUGGUUUAUGGUUAAAAUGAUUCGUCGCCAUAGGAUGGGACUGCGGCCUAUCAGCUUGUUGGUGAGGUAAUGGCCCACCAAGGCGAUUACAGGUACGGGCUCUGAGAGGAGAAGCCCGGAGAUGGGUACUGAGACACGGACCCAGGCCCUACGGGGCGCAGCAGGCGAGAAAACUUUGCAAUGUGCGAAAGCACGACAAGGUUAAUCCGAGUGAUUUCUGCUAAAGAGAUCUUUUGCCAGUCAUAAAACCACUGGUGAAUAAGGGGUGGGCAAGUUCUGGUGUCAGCCGCCGCGGUAAAACCAGCACCUCAAGUGGUCAGGAUGAUUAUUGGGCCUAAAGCAUCCGUAGCCGGCUUUGUUAGUUUUCGGUUAAAUCUAUGUGCUCAACGCAUGGGCUGCCGAAAAUACUGCAUAGCUAGGGAGUGGGAGAGGUAGACGGUACUCGGUAGGAAGGGGUAAAAUCCUUUGAUCUAUCGAUGACCACCUGUGGCGAAGGCGGUCUACCAGAACACGUUCGACGGUGAGGGAUGAAAGCUGGGGGAGCAAACCGGAUUAGAUACCCGGGUAGUCCCAGCUGUAAACGAUGCAGACUCGAUGAUGCAUUAGCAUAUAGCCAAUGCAGUGUCGCAGGGAAGCCGUUAAGUCUGCCGCCUGGGAAGUACGUACGCAAGUAUGAAACUUAAAGGAAUUGGCGGGGGAGCACCACAAGGGGUGAAGCCUGCGGUUCAAUUGGAGUCAACGCCGGGA
rnacentral:rRNA from 1 species